CCGAGACUACACAUGCGAAUUGCCUAGGAUGGGCAGCUAGAGAUCCAUCAGGGGUUCUAUCGCCUUAUGAAUUUAAUCGCAGGGCUGUUGCAGCGGAUGAUGUAUCAAUUAAAAUUACACAUUGUGGAGUGUGUUAUGCGGAUGUGGUUUGGACAAAGAACCUUCAUAGAGACUCCAAAUAUCCUGUGGUGCCUGGCCAUGAGAUAGUUGGAAUAGUGAAAGAGGUUGGGCAGAAUGUUGAUCGUUUCAAAGUUGGG